GAUGAACGCUGGCGGCGUGCCUAAUACAUGCAAGUCGAGCGAACGGACGAGAAGCUUGCUUCUCUGAUGUUAGCGGCGGACGGGUGAGUAACACGUGGAUAACCUACCUAUAAGACUGGGAUAACUUCGGGAAACCGGAGCUAAUACCGGAUAAUAUUUUGAACCGCAUGGUUCAAAAGUGAAAGACGGUCUUGCUGUCACUUAUAGAUGGAUCCGCGCUGCAUUAGCUAGUUGGUAAGGUAACGGCUUACCAAGGCAACGAUGCAUAGCCGACCUGAGAGGGUGAUCGGCCACACUGGAACUGAGACACGGUCCAGACUCCUACGGGAGGCAGCAGUAGGGAAUCUUCCGCAAUGGGCGGAAGCCUGACGGAGCAACGCCGCGUGAGUGAUGAAGGUCUUCGGAUCGUAAAACUCUGUUAUUAGGGAAGAACAUAUGUGUAAGUAACUGUGCACAGCUUGACGGUACCUAAUCAGAAAGCCACGGCUAACUACGUG
rnacentral:rRNA from 1 species